UCUCUUUACUCUCUCUAGAACCUCUCUCUAGCCCUAAAACCCCCUGAAAAGCCUAGGGAACCUCCCUAGCACGAGGCGGAAGCCCCAGAGUGCUAGACGGCUCCGAGAAUAAGAGAUUUUAGGCUCGUGAAUGCUGCUCCAAGCAAAGCCCGGUUUUCUAUAAAACCUGUUGUUUCGUCGAAGGAAAUUAUUUUUUAAGAAACGAAGCGCUGUCUGAGUUUGGAAUCACCACCUUUUCAAUUCGGUUGCUCAUCUGUACUUUCGUUUUGGGGGCGAGUUGUAGCAGACACGACACUAUUCAUCGAAGUACUGUUCAUCAAAAUCACUGCUCAUCGAAAUCACUAUUCAUCGAAGGUACUAUUCAUCAAAAUCACUGUUCACAAAGUUACUAUUCAUCAAAGGUACUCCUCAUCGACACUAUUCACUUUUUUUUUUUUUUUUUUUUUUUUUUUUUGUAGUUUUGGGUAUGCUUUCUUGCUCAUUUUUGUAUUCAGUUUGCUUUGAUUUGUUUGUUUUAAAGACUUCGAGGGUUUCAUUUCGUCUGUUGGUUUUGUUGAUUUUGAGAUCUUGAUUGUUGCUGUUGCUAUUUGUAUAUGCUGUUGUUUUGGUUAUUCUUGGUUGACUGAUAUUAGAAUAUGGCCCCAAGAGAUGAUUAUCUUCAGUCUAUUAGUAUCCAAAUCGAUGGCAAGAACUAUGCCUAUUGAAGUGUUGUUAUGAAGAAUUUCUUGCGACGCAAGACUAUGUGGGGGAAUUGUCACAGGUGUCACACCCCAAAACCGAGAACGGCGGAAACGUUUUGGGGCGGAGGACGUGAUGUAAUGUAUCACAACAAUGUAAAGUGGUAAACAAGCAACAACAUCAUCCAUUGCAUUAAUAGUAUAAUUUGAAUACAAGUAUGUUCUUUCAUUAUAUAAAACAACAUAAUGAAUAAUCAAAAUAUAAGACGAGUCUUGACUGCUCCGUCUUCACAAAACCUGGUCGUCGUACAUGUCUAUUUGUGACCUGAGAAUACAAGUUAUUUUGAAAGCGAGUAUCAGCAAUAAAGCUGGUAAAUUCAUAAGUAUUUAUGUGUCUUUGAUUUUGUAAAACUGUAAAGAAAGACUUGUAAAUGUUUGAUGAAAAGUUUGUAUCAAUGAACAUGUUUGUAAGUAAAUGUA